GCACCUAUGUGCCACUGCCACUGCCACUGCCACUACCAGGAAGACGAAACCACGCACCGUUUAUAUAUGUUGCCUCUGUUACAGGAAGGUUGCCUUUUCCACUGUCUGCGUCCUUUGUUCUCUUUUUUUUCUCUCCCCCACUCCCCCGCGAUCGUAUGCACACGCUCAUUGUCUGACCUUCUCUAAUUCAUGCACACGUGCACGGUCAUCUUGUCGUGUUGGCAUUUUCCUUGUCUUUUGCAGCUAUCCUUCUCGUCUUCUUCCCACUCCACUGCUUGUGGCCUUUCACUCUCUUUCGACCCAUUUUACCGCCUGCAAACUCCUCUCAUAGAAGAGACUUCCCAUUGCCCACUUCCCUUCUUUUCUCUUCCGCUAUCAUGCGCAGAGGCAUCGCUUUCCUCUACAGGUGCGUGGUGGUGGUGGCUGUGGUGGUCAGCGCAGCGGUGGUGUUGGCGGCACCGAUGUACAAGGUGGAGCUGGUCCAGGUGGUGCACCGCCACGGAGCCCGCUCCCCGCUCGUCGAUGACAACCACACACUCAUCUGCGGCACUGAGUUCCCGUGCGGGUUUAUCAACUACGAGGGUCAGGCGAUGCUAGUGAAAUUGGGCGAGUACCUGCGCCAUCGCUACACGGAGGACCGUUCGGUUGUGUCGAAGCCAUACUUCCCGUACAGCUGGUACAACUUGUCUAUCUCGUAUACGCGCUCGACGGAUGUGCUGCGCACGCUACAGAGCGCCAACGGGCUUCUGCGGGGCCUCUUCCCGAACAACUCGAAUUUCUUUCCUGCGAUCCACACGGUGGGAUUCGAGGAGGAUGUGCUACUGCACAGCAUGAUGGUGCCGAUGAUUCGUGCCCGCUUCAAUUACGCGAAGGAGGAGCUGCGGGCCGUGUGCGACCAGAUGUUAGACAGACUAAUGCCAUUUGAUCAGCUGCAGGCGGUAGCGGCGGAGGUACACUCGCAGGGGUUUUGCGCCAACUACACCCUGCGCUCGCGUUGUGCGGAGCGGCUGUGCGACAUUGGGCGCGCAUACGAGCCCACUGGCCGCUUGGAAAGACUCCCGCUGCUUAGUCGGCACCUGGACGACGUGUGCGCUGUGACAGCGAUGAGCUCGCAUUUUUGUUUCGCUUACAACGCCAGCAAUCCUGUCCAUCAGAAGCAAGGUGCACCGUUCUACCACCUGGCGAGAUUGCUGGUGAGCAACAUGCUGGCGCACCAGCAGCGUGAGACGGCGCCGCCGUACAAGCUGUACGAGUACAGUGCACACGAUACCACUAUCUCGCCCCUGGCGGUUUCCUUCGGUGACAGCUCUCUAGAGGCGAUGCUGCCGCCCUUCGGCACAGCGUUUAUCAUAGAGCUCCUGUCGCUGACGGACGCGCCUGCCGCGUCGUCGCGCUUCUACGUGCGGCUGCUGCGCGGCCACUCUGGUGUGAGACCGGAAAGCAACUUCACCUUCGCUCUGAGUCACUUCGACAUGCGCUGCAAGGAUGCGACGGGCAAUACGUACAUUGCGACGGACAACAUAUGUCCCUUCACCGACUUUGAGCGCUUUAUAAACUCCACCGCGCCAACGAGCCCGAUGGGUACGUGCUACCUCGACCCUGGACUGCUGUUCCGCAUGGACUGUCCGGUCGACGCCGUUGGCGACAACCGCAGCUUGUCCAAGGACUGCCUCUUCUACCGCAAGCACUGCAGCAAUUACUCGUGCGGCACCGGCUACUACCUUGACGCGAUCGACUACGGCUGCCACCGCAUCCCGGCGAACAACUCAACGACUGUGUCGUCGCCCAUGUCCAGCGGCGGCAUUGCUGCCCUGAGCAUCGCGCUCUUCAUCGUCGGCGGAGUGGCGAGCAUCGGCGGCAUGGAGGUGUGGAAGCGCUACAAGAAGUUGAAAAGCAAGCAAUCCGAGGUGCUUAUCGUCUGACAACCCGUCGAAGCCUGUAGCCAUGCUUUUUCUCCUUGUAGCCUUUAUUUUCCUUAACACACAAAGAGCAUACCCUCACCUGCGGGCUUCCUCAACAGUACAACCCCCUAUUCGACAGUGCUUCUGCGAAAAAUUGUACAUCUUGUGCGCUAAGGUUGUCAGCAUGCAAACGCCCCACAACCGAACAUUCUCUGAUUUAGUCUACCUGCCUCGGUAAAUGCUUUUCUUCCUUCUGUCCGGUAAGAAGUGUGUUCGCAGUGGAUUAUGCUUUCGCUUAGCCGUGUGUUUUUCUCUCGCACUAAUACAGUUCUUUUCGUGUUCUAACCCUUCACGGGGGCCAUCAACUUCCCCGCCGUUGCGCUCGCUCAGCGGUGGAUCCUGUGUGUGAGAAGCAAGCUGGCAAGCUGGAAGUGGACGCAAAAGAAGCCAGUAAGUCCAAUUUUAGUGCCUUUCAUGCGCAACUCCCGUGCGUGUGCGAAACAGGCGUCCAAAAAAAAACACGCACACCUUCGCGAAAGCGUUGCUACAAAUGCUAUCGUCGUUUUUCUGGCGUCCUUCCCAUUCGUAUGUUUUUCUGCACAACCGUUUUUUGUGUUUCACAAUAGCCACCGAGCAAACGAAG
rnacentral:misc_RNA from 1 species